UCAGACGAUGCGUCAUGCAUAUCAAUAAGCGGAGGAAAAGAAACUAACAAGGAUUCCCCUAGUAACGGCGAGUGAAGCGGGAAGAGCUCAAAUUUGAAAUCUUAAAGGGUUUCCCUUUACGAAUUGUAGUUUAAAGAAGUGUUUUCUGUUGAGGUUUUGGUAAAAGUUCUUUGGAAUAGGACAUCAUAGAGGGUGAGAAUCCCGUAUUUGACCUUUACUUUCAACUUUGUGAUACACUUUCAAAGAGUCGGAUUGUUUGGGAAUGCAGUCCAAAAUGGGUGGUAAAUUUCAUCUAAAGCUAAAUAUUGGCGAGAGACCGAUAGCGAACAAGUACCGUGAGGGAAAGAUGAAAAGAACUUUGAAAAGAGAGUUAAACAGUACGUGAAAUUGUCAAAAGGGAAGCGUUUGACACCAGUGUUGUUUUUCUGAAAAUCAAUUAAAGAACUGUUUAUGCUAAGUUGUUUAGACUUUAUCAGCUAACUGUUUAGUUUUGAGCUUUUCUUUAAUGCACUUUUCAGUUAACAAGUCAACAUCAAUUUCUUUUGCCGUAAAAAAGCUUGAGGAAGGUGGCUUGAGAUUCGUCUUAAGUGUUUAUAGCCUCUUGCCUAUGCAGUCGGAGAGAUUGAGGUCUGCAGCGUAGAUCCUUCGGGGCUAAAUGCAUUUGUGCUAAGUUAUAGCAUUUUAUAGACAACUUGUUGACUAUGAUUUGUCUUGUAGCUUACUCGCUUAUGUUAUUUUACCUACGCUUAGGAUGUUGAAUCUGUGCGAGACUAC
rnacentral:rRNA from 1 species